AACGAACGCUGGCGGCAUGCCUAACACAUGCAAGUCGAACGAGACCUUCGGGUCUAGCGGCGCACGGGUGCGUAACGCGUGGGAACCUGCCCUUAGGUUCGGAAUAACUCCCCGAAAGGGGUGCUAAUACCGGAUAAUGUCUUCGGACCAAAGAUUUAUCGCCUUUGGAUGGGCCCGCGUUGGAUUAGCUAGUUGGUAGGGUAAAAGCCUACCAAGGCGACGAUCCAUAGCUGGUCUGAGAGGAUGAUCAGCCACACUGGGACUGAGACACGGCCCAGACUCCUACGGGAGGCAGCAGCGGGGAAUAUUGGACAAUGGGCGAAAGCCUGAUCCAGCAAUGCCGCGUGAGUGAUGAAGGCCUUAGGGUUGUAAAGCUCUUUUACCCGGGAUGAUAAUGACAGUACCGGGAGAAUAAGCUCCGGCUAACUCCGUG
rnacentral:rRNA from 1 species